rnacentral:lncRNA from 1 species
AUUUGAGCUGUCCUCACAGGUAGGCUGCUUAACGCAUUAGUGGAUGAACUGCAUUCCAAUGUCCACACAAAGACAAUGCAAUAUAAAACUACAAGGAAGAACACAACCAUCUGAAUCACUUCCACGUAGCUGGGCACAUUUGGUUGGUUUUAUUGGAAGUUCAUUUUUUUCCGUCCAGGUGUCACUUCAACAAACACACACAAUCAACCAGCUCAGCUGUCAUCAAUCACAUGAUGGCUGUGUGCAGACUUUUUUUUGGUUUAAAGAAAUAUCGAUUGUGAGGGACGUUACCUAAUACUUUUGUGAAGAACACAACAUAUAACACGUUGAGGAGAAGAUAAAGAAAUUAACUAGAGAGAGGGUGAAACGCAGGGCUUGUUGAAGGUGACCCACAUACAUAUAUAUACGAAGCGGCUGCUGCUGUGAGCGAAAGAUAUCGAACAGCUAAUUGCUAAAAUAAGCGUAUGACCUAGAAAAUUGGCCUUAGUCGGACAUAAGGAAGAGAGUGUAGUAGCCGUAGAAGAGGAUGACGAUGCUUGAGAAGAGGCCAGCCGCACUUGGGACCACGGAGCACAUCGAGAUGGAGAUCUUCGCCUCGGAAGAGUCUCGCGCCGUGGUCUCCGUACAUGAUACCGAGGAGGGCUACUUCGGCUACUAUAGGCACCUAGAGCAUCCUCUGGUGUCCGUUUCUGAAGAGGAGUACCUAGAGGCCCAGGUCCAGAGCCCAGCUGAACAGCAAUUCAAGCUGAAGAGAGUGCUUUCUGUCGGGACAGAGGACUUGGAUGACUGCCCCCUGAUUCCAGACUUAAAGGAGGACAUGGAGAUUGAAAUGGAGGAAUUCCCUCCCUUCAACACGCCCGAGAGUGAGCAAGUAUUAAAAACAUCAGCCCUCCCUUCCUUCAAAACACUACCGUUUCCCGCCGUGGCUUCUCUCAACCAAGUCACCAAAGUCAAAUGGAGCCAAGUAGACCAUCAGAGGACUGGACUGGUAGUUAAAGACGUCAUCUGUCUACCCAGAGGACACCUCCUGGCCCAUCCCGACCGAAAGAACUUUCCUCUGGGGGUUGCCAUGGAAAGAUGUGGUGAGACCCAGCCGGUGGAAGGGAACCUGCCUCCGGAACACAGCCACAAGAUAGAUCUGGACUUCGCCCUGAAGAAGUUCAGACGACACGCCGUGGAUCCGAGCCUCCAUCUCCUGGUCACCCCGAGUUGGAAGGAGCCGCUCCUCAGUGCGUUGAGGAUGUUGGGCAGUCCAGGCUUCUGCUUCAGAGCCUCCCCAGUCAUUUCUUUGUGUGACACAGAGCGAGAAGCUGGCGGACACCAUCUCGACCUCAGAGAGUUCUUCAGCUAA